UUGGCAACAGCUCUGCAAAAAAGGAUACAAUGAUCUAUCUUUGGGAAAAUUACAAAUAUGAUAGAAAAUCAAACAUGCAUUAAAAUAAACAACAAUUAAAGGAAAAAAAAAAAUUUGUACACCAAAUGAAUACACGAAGAAUUUAAUAAAAAUUAGAGAGGAUAGAAUUGGCAAGUCAGGAAGGUUAUGAAGUUAUCUGUCACCAUAACUAAGAUAAGCUUUGUAUCAUAUUCGAAACUCAAUAAAAAAAAAAAAA
rnacentral:misc_RNA from 1 species